AGAAGACCAACGGACUUCUUGAAUUAUUUUAAAGUAAAGGAAACCCUUCUCAGAGUUUUCGAAAGUGACGGACAGGAAAAAGAAUACAUUUGAAAGGUUACUCUUUGGCGCCACGGAGAGGAGACGGAUGGAAGCAUUCUGAGGAAUAAUCCAGAAAUUAGCACCAAAAAGAACCGCGAUAGAAGGGACCUCCCCGGAGAGCUGAUUAAAAUGUUUCCUGUCGGAGAGCUGGCAGGGAUUGCUGCGCAAGAUGAAUGUGGUGUUGAUGGUCUCCAGUAUGAGCCCCCAUUGAUCAUAUUGUGGCUGGUGGCACGGGACCUGAGGAGACGGGCACUCAGGUUGCUAAUCAAUGCUGGAUCCUCUCACCCUUCCCCCUCCCACCAAUCCCAGCAUGAUCAAGUUGCUGAGUGCUCUGUGUGCCACUGAAAGACUACUAACUGACUGAGAGACGCAACAAUAUUGACCAAACAUUGAGGAAAAGGAUUUGGUAUCUUGAUGAAGGUGGUGUGUAACGUACAUAGGACCGGUCUGUUUCUGUUUGUGUGCUUUUCAUAGCUUAUGUCCGUCCACCUUAUCAGGUUUCCACAUGCUCAGUAAUUGCUCCUGUGGCCUCCAUACACUGGAUGGUUGAGAAACCACUCAUCUCUUUUGUGGUUUCAUGUUUGUUUUUAUACAUUUUCACGCUGAACAAUGGCUUUCUCCCCUGUGCAAUUUUUCAUGAUCUCUUCUCAUUUAAACUGAAGCAGUAGCCCACAGCACAUUUCAGGAUUUUACUGUGUUCAGUGUGAGAACAGUCCUUUGUUUUAACAAGUGAGAGAGUUGUUUAUACUAUAGUGCAGGGACAAAAGUAUCUAACCUGACAGAGCUCAAACACUGGUGCCAGAACAAAAGCAAAAGGUAUUUCUCCCAUGUUAAAACAUAAACAUUGUCUUUUGCCGUUGUUACAUUCAUGGCUUCUGCUGUUAUUGACCAGGUAGCAGCAGACAUGGUAACAACCACAUUAUAUCAUCGAACUAAGUCACUUCUAAUAAAAACUGCUCUCAUUUCCUCUCUAUUUCACAUCCAACCUGUUUGCAGUGGUUUAUGCUAGCUCUAUAUUUUCAUUGUUUCAGUAGAAAUGAAAAUGAAAACAGUUCACUGUGGCAGUACAGAUAUAUAUUUUUGUAGGGUGUUUAUAAUAGAUAUAUGUUGUAAUUGUUUUUCCUGCAAAUUCUUUAAAUGCUCUAAUUCUGUGACACAUUCUGGGUGGGAGUAACUGCAGAAGCUCUGGUGUGGAUGUUAUUGUGGUGGAGUUCUGCGUCACUGGUGUUCUAGAAAGCGCUGAUCUUUGUGAAGUGAUACAAUGUCGCUGCCCGGAACAUCAGAGGGAUGCCUGUAAUGGCUAUGUUGACUGGCCCCUGACACUAUGACCUUGUGAUCCUGGGUCAUUGAAACUGUGGUGACAGCUUCCAUGGCAACAGAGCACUUAAUGUGGGGAGAAUGGGCUCCAGGCACUGAAGUGGAGGGGAGGGGGU